UCCGGUGUGGUGUAAUGGCUAUCAUACUGCGCUUUCAUAAGAAAGAUUCCGCAGGGACCGGGGUUCGAUUCCCCGCAUCGGAG
rnacentral:tRNA from 1 species